UCAAUAGCUGAUUUCAGAGGAUGAUCAGCCACAUUGGGACUGAGACACGGCCCAAACUCCUACGGGAGGCAGCAGUGGGGAAUCUUGCACAAUGGAGGAAACUCUGACGCAGCGAUGCCGCGUGAGUGAAGAAGGCCCUUGGGUUGUAAAGCUCUUUCGUCGGGGAAGAAAAUGACUGUACCCNAANAANAA
rnacentral:rRNA from 1 species